AUUGAACGCUGGCGGCAGGCCUAACACAUGCAAGUCGAACGAGUGGCGGACGGGUGAGUAAUGUCUGGGAAACUGCCUGAUGGAGGGGGAUUACUACUGGAAACGGUAGCUAAUACCGCAUACCCUCAGAUGUGCCCAGAUGGGAUUAGCUGGUUGGUGGGGUAACGGCUCACCAAGGCGACGAUCCGUAACUGGUCUGAGCGGAUGAUCAGACACACUGGAAGUGAGACAGGGUGCAGAAUCCUACGGGCGGGAGCAGUGGGGAAUAUUGGACAAGGGGCGAAAGCCUGAUCCAGCAAUGCCGCGUGUGUGAAGAAGGUCUUCGGAUUGUAAAGCACUUGAAGUUGUGAGGCGUUACCAACAGAAUAAGCACCGGCUAACUUCGUGCCAGCAGCCGCGGUAAUAC
rnacentral:rRNA from 1 species